UGGCUCAGAGGUUAAAGUGUCUGCCUGCAAUGCAGGAGACCUGGGUUCGAUCCCCUG
rnacentral:tRNA from 1 species